GCUUGUGAGGAGGAAGUUCUGAAGAACCUCUCACUUCCAGUGGUCUCAGGAAACGUAAGGCCAAAGCCAAGGGUCUGCUGGUGAAUGUGACAGCACUGAUUAAAUGUUCAGUCCUGUUGGCCCUCUUAACUAAUAGGGGGAGUGGGAUCCUGGGAAGGAGUAUGACAUUUGUGCAAAAUUUAAAAGGCUGAGAACUUGUAAUCUCCCUUUUCCCACAAACCUCUCUUCCUUAUAGAGGCAGCCUCCUCUACCCCUCUCACUUUAUUGAUGCCAUUUGCUAACUAAAUCUGAUGAGCAAGAAAUAGCUGUCAAGAACUGUGAUGGUCUGAGAUUUUACCCCACUAAAAUUUUAUUGGAACACAGCAACACCAUUCAUUUACAAAUUAUUGAUGACGGCUUUCACAUUGCAGUGGCAGAGCUGAAUAGUUCCAGCAGAAAUCAUGGCCUGCAAAGCCUGAAACAUUUAGUAUCUGCCCCUUUCCAAAGAAGUUUGCUGACCAGGGUUCUAAUCCACAGAACUAAAAACCUGGAUGUGACAAGCAGCAUUCCAUUGUCAAGUUGGAGUGGUGUCCACCAGCCCAGGGCUGAGCAACCCCAAGUUCACAAGCUGCAUAGAAGACUUGGGUCCUAUAUCAUCUCCUCCUCUGCUGCCUCUCUCCCCAUCUGUACCUCGGGAACUUUGGGCCAUUUCAUAUGGAGGAAAAGACCUGGUUUCUGGAUGUGGACAGGACACUACACCAUGGCCUCCUCUCGAGUAGGAGGGAAUCCUGUUAGGGAGCAAACUGGAUGGUGCAUCAAGUCUACUGCUAAAGGAAGAUAUGUCUAACUCUGGUGGCUCAAGGGCAAUAGCUAACAGGUUGGCCAGCUGGUCAAAGUUUUGGAAAAAACAGAAACUUGGUGAUGUGUAGUUCUGGCAGGGAGAGGUAUGUAAAAGGGCCCCUCCAGACAGGAACAGAAGAAAUCGGUGUCCCAAAUAAAUGCCAUCAGAGAGCAUCCAAGACAAAGAAAGAGCUCAGGAAUCAGGCAAACAAGACCACCUGUCCAGUGGGACAUGGGCCUCUUUCCUCAGGGACCCCGUUCUUUCUUGGUGAACCCUUGUGCACAGUGGCCACGGCGGCAGGGAAGGGGGUGAUGGACGAGCUUGAACACAGCCUCCCCCUUGCCAAGGCUGAUCUGACAGCACUACUGAGGGCCUGAUCCAUUAACAGAGGCCAAGGCAGGACCCCCAGUGUGACUCCACUCUCCAGGAGGACCAACCAGCUACCUGUGACAUGUGGGUUACAUUCAACCCUUUCUAUCUUGGAAGAGGUGCUACCUUUCUUUCUAGAACAGACAUAUUUUAUGAGUAUAGAUUGCUAUACCUGCCCCCCAUCCAUGACUUCCAGAGUGUUUUCUCAAGAGCAGUGAAUCUGAUGGUUUUCAAAAUAUGUCUUAAAAAGUCUACAUGCCUCCCUCCAAAAGGAGAAGCCUCAUUUGUGUCCCUUGACUGGUGUGGACUUAUGGCCUCAUAAUGGCAGAGGGGAUGCACCAUCACUUCCUAGUUUAGGUGAUAAAAAGACUGCAACUUAAAUCCUAAGUGUGCUCUUUCUCUUUUUUUCUUCUUAAGGCUGUACCUGUGGCAUAUGGAAGUUCCCAGGCUAGGGAAUGAAUCAGAGCUGUACUUUCAGGCCUAGGCCCCAGCCACGGCGACAUUGGAUCCAAGCUGCAUCUGCAACCUACAUCACAGCCUGCAGCAAGGUCGGAUCCUUCACCCACUUGAUCAAGGCCAGGGACUGAACCCUUUUGGACACCAUGUUGGGUACUUAACCCGCUGAGCCACACUGGGAACUCCCUGGGUGUGUUCUUACUAUCUCUUUCUCCCCCACCCCACUUGGGGGCUCUCACCGGAAAGCCCUGUUACAGACCAAGUGGAGAGGAACUAGAGCCCAGAAGUGAACUCGGCGAUGAAGGCUGUUCCAGUACGGCCUCAAGAGACUGCAGCAAUCCCUGAAGUUUGUUCCAGGAGAGGUCCUGAGCCAGAGCCACUCAGCUCAGCCACUUGUCUCCUGAUCCCCAGAACCUGUGAGGUAAUAAAUGUCUCUAGUCUUAAGCCACUACAUUUGGUUUAAUUUGUUACACAGCAGCAGAAUUAAGUAUCCUACACAACGCUGCCUCCAACGGGACUUCUUUUGCAGAAAUGGGCUCCUGUCCAUGGAAUCCUGGUCUUAACAGCUGCCUAUGGAGGCUCAGUUGUGCUGUUAGAUGCAGACAGCUGGCGAGGUCAGGCCCUGUCCUGUAACACAGCCUGUCCUUAGACCAGCAGUGGUCACUCCCAUGCCCAGGGCACACAGUUCUGGGAAGGAGGGUGGAGGUCAGAGCGACCCCUUCUCACACUGAAUAGUCCGUGCACCGAACCUUGCUAUACUUCACACUUCUUGCCAAAAAAGAGCAUGUGGACUCUGUUUCAAGCAUCACAGUCACCAUUAACAUCUGAGUUCCUGUCAUGGCUCUGCAGAAACGAAUCUCACUAGCAUCCAUGAGGACACAGGUUCGAUCCCUGGCCUCGCUCAGUGGGUUAAGGAUCCGGUGUUGCCAUGAGCUAUGGUGUAGGUUGCAGACAGGGCUCGGAUCCUGAGUUGCUGUGGCUGUGGUGUAGGCUGUGGCUACAGCACCGAUUAGGCCCCUAGCCUGGGAACCUCCAUAUGAGAUGAGGGUGGCCCUAAAAAGACAAAAAAAAAAUUUGAAUUUACAUUAAUUAGUCAUUUAAAAACCAUUCAAUAGCUUAAUGAUUUAUAUAUUUAAUAUAUAAAGUAUUUCAAAAUGAUAUCUUGUUUAGGAAAAACAUAUAAAAUUUUAAUUAAAUGUGCCCAAGACACUGGUUUUCUGUGUCCAUGAUCUUUUCAUCAUUCAGUUUUUCAGGAGGCAGGGGAGGACUGCAUGUCAUGCUGUGAAAACAGGUUCAUUAACAACUAGAUAUGCUUUAUUAGGACCAAAGAACUUUAUAUUUAUUUUAAAUAUCAAAACAACACAAGGAACUAAUUCAAUAUACAACACAUUUCCUAGUCUUCACAGAGAACUGAAUUUUUCCAUAAAGACGUUGGUACUGAGAAAACACGAGACAGUCAAAAGAUCUAUAAAACUCACAAGAUACUUUACACACAGUUGACAAAAUAAUGAGUCUUGAUAGUUUAGAUUUUUCUUUGUAAUUGUUUUUGAAAGAGUCCUUAAUGAUUAAAAACAAAAACUUAAGAUUGGAGACUGAAAACUAAGUUCAAAGGCAUUUCCAUUUUAAUGUACAGCAUAAAUCCCGUAACCAGAACGUUUCCUACAGAACACGGAGCAGCCAAACGCCCACCUCUGCUCACUUUCUGGCAGCUGCACUCAUCAACUGUGAUACAGCUGUAAUUUCUUAUCCACAGAUAAGAAAAGUCUUGAUUGUUGAGGAAUAAAAAUUUUGUCUUUACACCACAGUUCACUGUCCAACUGUAUGUAACGCAAGCAGGAAUACCAAGCAAAGAGGUGAAAUACCGAGACGCCUACAUGCUCUCCAUUCAAGAAAUGUUUAGAAUCUCCCAAAGCAAUACAAGCACCAAAAUUACUUCUUGAACCUAAGAAUUUGGAAAAAAGCAGAACAAAGGAAGUAUACUCAUCUUUGAUGACCUCUAUUUUCUGGAUGUAAUUCUUAUUUUCUCUUUAUAUAAACGGCUGCAGAGGCUAAAUUUAAAUUGUUUGGGAUUUUGCAAUAGUCCUAGACUCAGGAUCAGGGCACAGCAAGUUGGAAGAUGAAGAGUAAAUGCAGCGCAGGUGCUCUCCCUACCAGACCUUCCGCUCAUCCUCCAAGAGACCCAGUGCUGUUCCUUCUACCUCAUUAAAGCCACUUCCAGAAAGGAAGAGCAGAAAGCAUGCAACGAUUCCAGGACAAAAGUACCUUGAAGCAGAAAGAAGCUGAGAAGAAAUGAGGGAACAAUACUCUCCCAAACCCACUAGAGACGUUACCAGGAGAGGAACGUGCAAAAGCAAGGGGAGGAUCUAAAGGGAACUGUCUGUGGUUCCUAGAAAUUAUAAGAAAACUAUUCUCACAUUAUCCAUCACUUGAUCUAAUAGUAAGUAACAUUUACUAUAACACUUUUCAACGUUUUAGAAAUGCUACUUGUUCUUCAUUAAAAAAUACAUUUGAGUCAUUUCAGAUUUGGCACUGAAUCUCAGAAUAAUCCAAAUACGACUAUAAAAGCCCUAAUUCUUCCUGGGUUCCAUCAACUCAAGUUGUCUCAAGUUGCUUGGGUUGUUUGCUGCUCCUAACGAGAGACUCAUCUCACACCAUCACCUCUGGUUCACUUUUAGGCAAACUGCAAAAAGAAGCUGUUCAGUGUAGAGCUGGGUGGUUGGGUAACUGAUUAUUAACAAGAAAAGGUGGAGAGGACAGGAGAAGGAGACAGAGAGGCAGACACACUCUUUUUAUUUUACUUGUCAGAUGCCUCUGAAGAGCAUCUGGAGACAGGCCCAGGAGUGGCUUCACAGUAACCAGAAAGGCCACAAUAGUAGAG
rnacentral:lncRNA from 1 species